rnacentral:rRNA from 1 species
CUGCGAAUGGCUCAUUAAAUCAGUUAUCGUUUAUUUGAUAGUACCUUACUACAUGGAUAACCGUGGUAAUUCUAGAGCUAAUACAUGCUAAAAAUCCCGACUUCGGAAGGGAUGUAUUUAUUAGAUUAAAAACCAAUGCCCUUCGGGGCUCUCUGGUGAUUCAUAAUAACUUCUCGAAUCGCACGGCCUUGCGCCGGCGAUGGUUCAUUCAAAUUUCUGCCCUAUCAACUUUCGACGGCUGGGUCUUGGCCAGCCGUGGUGACAACGGGUAACGGAGGGUUAGGGCUCGACCCCGGAGAAGGAGCCUGAGAAACGGCUACUACAUCCAAGGAAGGCAGCAGGCGCGCAAAUUACCCAAUCCCGACACGGGGAGGUAGUGACAAUAAAUACUGAUACAGGGCUCUUUCGGGUCUUGUAAUUGGAAUGAGUACAAUUUAAAUCCCUUAACGAGGAACAAUUGGAGGGCAAGUCUGGUGCCAGCAGCCGCGGUAAUUCCAGCUCCAAUAGCGUAUAUUAAAGUUGUUGAGGUUAAAAAGCUCGUAGUUGAACCUUGGGCCUAGCCGGCCGGUCCGCCUCACCGCGUGCACUGGCUCGGCUGGGUCUUUCCUUCUGGAGAACCGCAUGCCCUUCACUGGGUGUGCUGGGGAACCAGGACUUUUACUCUGAAUAAAUUAGAUCGCUUAAAGAAGGCCUAUGCUCGAAUACAUUAGCAUGGAAUAAUAGAAUAGGACGUGUGGGUUCUAUUUUGUUGGUUUCUAGG